rnacentral:rRNA from 1 species
AGCGAACGCUGGCGGCAGACUUAACACAUGCAAGUUGAGCGGGCGUAGCAAUACGUCAGCGGCAGACGGGUGAGUAACGCGUGGGAACGUACCUUUUGGUUCGGAACAACACAGGGAAACUUGUGCUAAUACCGGAUAAGCCCUUACGGGGAAAGAUUUAUCGCCGAAAGAUCGGCCCGCGUCUGAUUAGAUAGUUGGUAGGGUAAUGGCCUACCAAGGGGACGAUCAGUAACUGGUCUGAGAGGAUGAUCAGCCACAUUGGGACUGAUACACGGCCCAAACUACUACGGGAGGCAGCAGUGGGGAAUAUUGGACAAUGGGGGCAACCCUGAUCCAGCCAUGCCGCGUGAGUGAUGAAGGCCCUAGGGUUGUAAAGCUCUUUUGUGCGGGAAGAUUAUGACGGUACCGCAAGAAUAAGCCCCGGCUAACUUCGUGCCAGCCGCCGCAGUAA